CCUACGGGAGGCAGCAGUGGGGAAUAUUGCGCAAUGGGCGAAAGCCUGACGCAGCGACGCCGCGUGAGGGAUGAAGGUCUUCGGAUCGUAAACCUCUGUCAGCAGGGAAGAACGGUCACGGAGCUAAUCAGCAGUGAAUUGACGGUACCGGCAAAGGAAGCACCGGCUAACUCCGGGCCAGCAGCCGCGGUAAUACGGAGGGUGCGAGCGUUAAUCGGAAUUACUGGGCGUAAAGCGCGCGUAGGCGGUAUGUCAAGUCAAGGGUGAAAUCCCCGCGCUCAACGUGGGAACUGCCUUUGAAACUGGCAAACUGUAGUGUGUGCGAGGAUAGUGGACUUCCAGGUGUAGGCGU
rnacentral:rRNA from 1 species